ensembl:misc_RNA Metazoa_SRP Metazoan signal recognition particle RNA
GCCGGGCGUGGUGGCUCACGCCUGUAAUCCCAGCACUUUGGGAGGCCGAGGCAGGUGGAUCACCUGAGGUCAGGAGUUUGAGACCAGCCUGGUCAACAUGGUGAAACCCCGUCUCUA